GUGAAUUAUAUCACAAACAGCUGUUUGUGUCUGAGAAUUUUGCAGACGUGAAGAAAAUCCUUUCCUCCUUCCCCCCUCUUUUUUAAUGCUUUUCUCUUGACUAUGCUACAAAAAUUAGAAUAAACUGGAUAGUAAUUAUAGAUAUAGAAUCUUAACGAGGUGUAUAUUAAAUUUUAAGGGUAUUAUGGUUUGCGAGGAAAGAAUCAAAAUGGAAUCUUUGAAACUUUUGUUCGAGUUAGCUGUCAAAUAAACACAUGUAACCUAAAACGUGUGAAUCUAAAGAAAUUGACGUUAAAAUUAAAGAAAUGGAUGUUGUAACAACAAGCCUAGAGGCCCUGAUACAAAGGGUAACGAAUCCACAAAAUCAAAAACCUGAUAUAGCCGCAACUGAGGCGUUCUGUGUAAUGCUUACCAAAGAAUCAGAAGGUAUUCAAAUCGGUACUAAAUUGUUAGCAUUACGUAUUCAGUCAUCUAACGAGACUACAGCACUUCAAGCUCUUACUUUACUGGACACAUGUAUGAGGCGAUGUGGGUCAUCUUUUCAUUCAGAGGUUGGUAAAUUUCGUUUUUUGAACGAAAUGAUUCGUCUAGUUUCACCAAAGUAUCUAGGUGGCAAAACGCCGGUCAUGGUGCGUCAAAAAGUAUUACAAUUGCUACAUACGUGGACAAGAGAGUACCCAAAAGAAUUAAAAAUUAAAGAAGCUUAUGAAAUGUUGAAAAAGCAAGGAGUUAUCAAUGAUGAUUCUGUGUCUGUAAAUAAUAUUCAAGAGGAAGGUUUGAAGGUGCUGAAAACUAAAAGUACAAUAUUCUAUGAUGAGGAGAAAUCCAAAUUAUUACAAAAAUUACUCCAGAGCAAAAAUCCUGAUGAUUUGCAUGCUGCAAAUAGAUUAAUUAAAACUAUGGUGCAAGAGGAUGAAAGAAGAGUACAAUUAAAUUCUCAUAGGAUAAUGGAAUUAGAAUCUGUUCAUAACAAUGCAAAGUUAUUAUCAGAAAUGUUAGACUCAUAUAAUUCUAAUGAAACCAAUGCGGAAGAUCUCGAAUUAAUGAAAGAAUUAUAUGAAGCUUGUGAAAGAUUAAAGCCGAUUGUGUUGAGGUUAGCAAAUGAAACCCAAGAUAAUGGUGAUGUACUUGCUGCAAACGAUGAAUUGGAACAAGUAUUUGAGAAGUACACUGCAAUUAUAGUUCAUGGUAAAUGCAUAAAACCUAAGACAGACUCCAACAUCAAUCAGUAUUUAUUAGAUUUAUCUUCUCCAAUGGAGAAUAUUCCCCUCGAAAGUGAUGGUAUAAAUGCAAGUUACAGUGUAAUGACAGGAAAUCAUCAGUCAGACAUGGAUGUUUUAGGAGAUAUCUUUAAUUCAUUAGGAAAGUCUGAAAAUUCAGAAAUUUCUUUGAUUCCUAAUGCAAAUCUCUUAAUGACCGAUUCAGUUAUGCAGCCACUCAAUGUGUUACAUAAAAAUAAGAAAGAUGAAUUAAUCCACACAUCUGAAAAGAAAAUUGUCAGUAAAGCAAAAUCAUUGGAGGAACUGAACGAAUUGGGAGAAUCUUUACUUAAACAAAGUUUAUCAGGCAUAGCAUCAAAUUCUCGUGUAAAACCAGGAAGUAAACAAAGUAUAAAUCGUCCACCAAAUAACGAACAUCUAGCAGAACGUUAUGCUUCAACAACCUUCCCCCGCAGUGGUUGUUCUUCGCAUUUUUCUGACUUGUCGGAGGUGAUAAGUAUGAAAAACAAUAAAAUUUCUGAUAUUCAUUUUGAAUCAAGCCAUAAUUUUCCGUCAUAUGAUGGCACAAACACUCAAACCAUUAUUGAAGAAAAGGUAGAUGGAAACCGAUGUGAUAAUCGAUUAGGCACAUGGGAUGCUGCUUCAAUAACACCUUCAGUAGAAAAUUCCAUUAACCUAGAAGCUCAAAUUAAGCCGUUAACAGAUAUCAAUAUUAAUCUUCAAGAUAUUAAACCAGGCACUAAUCCACCUAUGACAGUAAUCGAAGAAAAGAAUGGAAUAUCUGUUGUGCUUCAUUUUGCUCGAGAUAAUCCAAGAGAAGAUGUGUUUGUUGUAGUGAUUACAACAAUGAGUAGGAAUUUGAAACCACUUACUAAUUACCUGUUUCGAGCAGUGGUAUCAAAAAAAUGUAAAUGUAGGCUUCAACCACCUUCUGGAACAGGUUUACCUGGUCAUAAUCCAUUUUUACCCCCAUCAGCAAUUACUCAAAUUAUGCUAAUUGCAAACCCUACUAAGGAAACGGUAUCAUUAAAAUUCAUGUUAAGUUAUACAAUGGACGAUGAAACAUUUACAGAAAUGGGUGAAGUAGAAAAGUUGCCUUUAAUUUAAAGUACUUAAAGCAUACUUAUAAGGAGUAAACAUAAAAAUGCAGAUUCUAAUAACUAAAAGGAAAAUAUAUUGCUUUUCCAAAAUUGGUAACGGAAAGUACUUCAUCGCGAAAUGCGAGAGCGGUAACAGCUUUUUGAUGACCCUGAUACUCU